rnacentral:rRNA from 1 species
GAACCCCUUGACCUCAAAUCGGGUGAGACUACCCGCUGAACUUAAGCAUAUCAAUAAGCGGAG